UGGGGAAUUUUGGACAAUGGGCGAAAGCCCGAUCCAGCAAUGCCGCGUGCAGGAUGAAGGCCUUCGGGUUGUAAACUGCUUUUGUACGGAACGAAAAAGCUUCUCCUAAUACGAGAGGCCCAUGACGGUACCGUAAGAAUAAGCACCGGCUAACUACGUGCCAGCAGCCGCGGUAAUACGUAGGGUGCGAGCGUUAAUCGGAAUUACUGGGCGUAAAGCGUGCGCAGGCGGUUAUGUAAGACAGAUGUGAAAUCCCCGGGCUCAACCUGGGAACUGCAUUUGUGACUGCAUGGCUAGAGUACGGUAGAGGGGGAUGGAAUUCCGCGUGUAGCAGUGAAAUGCGUAGAUAUGCGGAGGAACACCGAUGGCGAAGGCAAUCCCCUGGACCUGUACUGACGCUCAUGCACGAAAGCGUGGGGAGCAAACA
rnacentral:rRNA from 1 species